rnacentral:rRNA from 1 species
GAUGAACGCUAGCUACAGGCUUAACACAUGCAAGUCGAGGGGCAUCAGGAAGAAAGCUUGCUUUCUUUGCUGGCGACCGGCGCACGGGUGAGUAACACGUAUCCAACCUGCCCUUUACUCGGGGAUAGCCUUUCGAAAGAAAGAUUGAUACCCGAUAGUAUAAUGAUUCCGCAUGGUUUCAUUAUUAAAGGAUUCCGGUAAAGGAUGGGGAUGCGUUCCAUUAGGUUGUUGGUGAGGUAACGGCCCACCAAGCCUUCGAUGGAUAGGGGUUCUGAGAGGAAGGUCCCCCACAUUGGAACUGAGACACGGUCCAAACUCCUACGGGAGGCAGCAGUGAGGAAUAUUGGUCAAUGGGCGCUAGCCUGAACCAGCCAAGUAGCGUGAAGGAUGAAGGCUCUAUGGGUCGUAAACUUCUUUUAUAUAAGAAUAAAGUGCAGUAUGUAUACUGUUUUGUAUGUAUUAUAUGAAUAAGGAUCGGCUAACUCCGUGCCAGCAGCCGCGGUAAUACGGAGGAUCCGAGCGUUAUCCGGAUUUAUUGGGUUUAAAGGGAGCGUAGGUGGACUGGUAAGUCAGUUGUGAAAGUUUGCGGCUCAACCGUAAAAUUGCAGUUGAUACUGUCAGUCUUGAGUACAGUAGAGGUGGGCGGAAUUCGUGGUGUAGCGGUGAAAUGCUUAGAUAUCACGAAGAACUCCGAUUGCGAAGGCAGCUCACUGGACUGCAACUGACACUGAUGCUCGAAAGUGUGGGUAUCAAACAGGAUUAGAUACCCUGGUAGUCCACACAGUAAACGAUGAAUACUCGCUGUUUGCGAUAUACAGUAAGCGGCCAAGCGAAAGCAUUAAGUAUUCCACCUGGGGAGUACGCCGGCAACGGUGAAACUCAAAGGAAUUGACGGGGGCCCGCACAAGCGGAGGAACAUGUGGUUUAAUUCGAUGAUACGCGAGGAACCUUACCCGGGCUUAAAUUGCAGUGGAAUGAUGUGGAAACAUGUCAGUGAGCAAUCACCGCUGUGAAGGUGCUGCAUGGUUGUCGUCAGCUCGUGCCGUGAGGUGUCGGCUUAAGUGCCAUAACGAGCGCAACCCUUAUCUUUAGUUACUAACAGGUUAUGCUGAGGACUCUAGAGAGACUGCCGUCGUAAGAUGUGAGGAAGGUGGGGAUGACGUCAAAUCAGCACGGCCCUUACGUCCGGGGCUACACACGUGUUACAAUGGGGGGUACAGAAGGCAGCUAGCGGGUGACCGUAUGCUAAUCCCAAAAGCCUCUCUCAGUUCGGAUCGAAGUCUGCAACCCGACUUCGUGAAGCUGGAUUCGCUAGUAAUCGCGCAUCAGCCACGGCGCGGUGAAUACGUUCCCGGGCCUUGUACACACCGCCCGUCAAGCCAUGGGAGCCGGGGGUACCUGAAGUACGUAACCGCAAGGAUCGUCCUAGGGUA